GCCCUUAGAGUUUGAUCCUGGCUCAGGACGAACGCUGGCGGCGUGCUUAACACAUGCAAGUCGAACGAGGUAGCAAUACCUAGUGGCGGACGGGUGAGUAACGCGUAGGUAAUCUGCCCCUUGGUGGGGGACACCCAGCCGAAAGGCUGGCUAAUACCGCAUAAGCUCUACAGGUGUGAAUCCUGUGGAGGAAAGGUUUACUGCCGAGGGAUGAGCCUGCGUCCGAUUAGCUAGUUGGUGAGGUAAUGGCUCACCAAGGCGACGAUCGGUAGCUGGUCUGAGAGGACGAUCAGCCACACUGGAACUGAGACACGGUCCAGACUCCUACGGGCGGCAGCAGUGGGGAAUUUUCCGCAAUGGGCGAAAGCCUGACGGAGCAACGCCGCGUGGGUGAUGAAGUCUUUCGGGACGUAAAGCCCUUUCAGCCGGGAAGAAGUCAGUGACGGUACCGGCAGAAGAAGCAUCGGCUAACUACGUGCCAGCAGCCGCGGUAAUACGUAGGAUGCAAGCGUUGUCCGGAAUUAUUGGGCGUAAAGCGUACGUAGGCGGUUCCGUAAGUCGGAGGUUAAAGACUGCAGCUCAACUGCAGGAGUGCCUUCGAUACUGCGGGGCUGGAGGAUGGUAGAGGAAGUCGGAAUUCCCAGUGUAGCGGUGAAAUGCGUAGAUAUUGGGAGGAACACCAGUGGCGAAAGCGGACUUCUGGGCCAUUCCUGACGCUGAGGUACGAAAGCCAGGGGAGCAAACGGGAUUAGAUACCCCGGUAGUCCUGGCCGUAAACGAUGGAUACUAGGUGUAGGGGGUAUCGACCCCUUCUGCGCCGGAGCUAACGCAGUAAGUAUCCCGCCUGGGGAGUACGGUCGCAAGGCUGAAACUCAAAUGAAUUGACGGGGAAGGGC
rnacentral:rRNA from 1 species